rnacentral:rRNA from 1 species
UCGAACGCGUCUUGGUUAUUGAUGUUAAGUGCUUGCAUUUAACUGAUUUAACAUUGAGACGAGUGGCGAACUGGUGAGUAACACGUGGGUAACCUGCCCUUGAAGUAGGGGAUAACACUUGGAAACAGGUGCUAAUACCGUAUAACAACCAAAACCACCUGGUUUUGGUUUAAAAGAUGGCUUCGGCUAUCACUUUAGGAUGGACCCGCGGCGUAUUAGCUUGUUGGUAAGGUAACGGCCUACCAAGGCAAUGAUACGUAGCCGACCUGAGAGGGUAAUCGGCCACAUUGGGACUGAGACACGGCCCAAACUCCUACGGGAGGCAGCAGUAGGGAAUCUUCCACAAUGGACGAAAGUCUGAUGGAGCAACGCCGCGUGAGUGAUGAAGGGUUUCGGCUCGUAAAACUCUGUUGUUGGAGAAGAACAGGUGUGAGAGUAACUGUUCACAUCUUGACGGUAUCCAACCAGAAAGCCACGGCUAACUACGUGCCAGCAGCCGCGGUAAUACGUAGGUGGCAAGCGUUGUCCGGAUUUAUUGGGCGUAAAGCGAGCGCAGGCGGUUUCUUAGGUCUGAUGUGAAAGCCUUCGGCUUAACCGGAGAAGUGCAUCGGAAACCAGGAGACUUGAGUGCAGAAGAGGACAGUGGAACUCCAUGUGUAGCGGUGAAAUGCGUAGAUAUAUGGAAGAACACCAGUGGCGAAGGCGGCUGUCUGGUCUGUAACUGACGCUGAGGCUCGAAAGCAUGGGUAGCGAACAGGAUUAGAUACCCUGGUAGUCCAUGCCGUAAACGAUGAGUGCUAAGUGUUGGA